CAAAAACAUCUUCACCCAUGUGCCUCUUAACCUCCCUUUUGUGUUUCUUAUCCCGUCUUUUAAAUAUCUGACUCCCUUUAGUGUAUUUUAUCUACUAUUUUUGCCUUUGUGUGUCUCCUAUCUCUCCUCUUUGUAUGACUCUUACAUCCUCCCACAUUUUGUGUCUUACUCCUCCCAGCCCCUUUGUGUGACUCCUUUUCUCCCAGCCCAUUUGUGUCUUUUAUUCUUCCCAGCUCCUUUGUUUGUGUCUCUUUCCUUCUCAAGCCCCGCUGUGUGUUUCUUUCACAUCCGGCCCCUCUCCCCGUCCCUUAAUGGUCCCCUCCCUUCUCUGACCCUUAUUGUUCCUUUCCCUUCCCGCCUCCUUUCCCUGUCCCUUAGUGUUCCUCUCCCCUCCCCCAUCUGUUGGCUGUCGCUUAGUGUUCCUCUCCCCCCCUCCCUCUUUUUCCUGUACCUUAGGGUAUCUCUCCCCUCCUCUCCCUGUCCCUUGGUGCGCCACCCACCCCCAUAGUGGUCCCCUCCCCUUCCUGGUGUGCCUCCUACCUUUUUUUGUGGCGUGGCUGAGCGGAG